rnacentral:misc_RNA from 1 species
GAUGAAGAACGUAGCGAAAUGCGAUAAGUAAUGUGAAUUGCAGAAUUCAGUGAAUCAUCGAAUCUUUGAACGCACAUUGCGCCCCUUGGUAUUCCGAGGGGCAUGCCUGUUCGAGCGUCAUUAUAACCCCUCAAGCUUAGCUUGGUGUUGGGGCCUGCUGUAAUAGAGCAGCCCUUAAAAUCAGUGGCGGUGCCAUUAGGCUCUAAGCGUAGUAAUUCUUCUCGCUAUAGGGUUCUGGUGGAUGCUUGCCAUCAACCUCUAAUUUUCUAUGGUUGACCUCGGAUCAGGUAGGGAUACCCGCUGAACUUAAGCAUAUCAAUAAGCGGAGGA